GAUGAACGCUGGCGGCGUGCCUAAUACAUGCAAGUCGAACGCUUCACUUCGAUGAAGAGUGGCGAACGGGUGAGUAAUACAUAAGUAACCUGGCAUCUACAGGGGGAUAACUGAUGGAAACGUCAGCUAAGACCGCAUAGGUGUAGAGAUCGCAUGAACUCUAUAUGAAAAGUGCUACGGGACUGGUAGAUGAUGGACUUAUGGCGCAUUAGCUGGUUGGUAGGGUAACGGCCUACCAAGGCGACGAUGCGUAGCCGACCUGAGAGGGUGACCCGCCACACUGGGACUGAGACACGGCCCAGACUCCUACGGGAGGCAGCAGUAGUGAAUUUUCGGCAAUGGGGGAAACCCUGACCGAGCAACGCCGCGUGAAGGAAGAAGUAAUUCGUUAUGUAAACUUCUGUCAUAGAGGAAGAACGGUGGAUAUAGGGAAUGAUAUCCAAGUGACGGUACUCUAUAAGAAAGCCACGGCUAACUACGUGCCAGCCGCCGCAGUAA
rnacentral:rRNA from 1 species